rnacentral:rRNA from 1 species
UACGGAGGGUGCGAGCGUUGUCCGGAAUCACUGGGCGUAAAGGGCGCGUAGGCGGCCUGAUAAGUAGGGGGUGAAAUCCUGCGGCUUAACCGCAGGGCUGCCUUCUAAACUGUCAGGCUCGAGCACAGUAGAGGCAGGUGGAAUUCCCGGUGUAGCGGUGGAAUGCGUAGAGAUCGGGAAGAACAUCAGUGGCGAAGGCGGCUAGCUGGGCAGUUGCUGACACUGAGGCGCGACAGCGUGGGGAGCAAACAGG